GAUGAACGCUGGCGGCGUGCUUAACACAUGCAAGUCGAACGAUGAAGCGGGUGCUUGCACUCGUGGAUUAGUGGCGAACGGGCGAGUAACACGUGAGUAACCUGUCCUUUUCUUUGGGAUAACGGCUGGAAACGGCUGCUAAUACUGGAUAUUCAGGCUGCAUCGCAUGGUGUGGUUUGGAAAGGUUUUUUCUGGGAUUGGGUGGGCUCGCGGCCUAUCAGCUUGUUGGUGGGGUGAUGGCUUACCAAGGCUUUGACGGGUAGCCGGCCUGAGAGGGUGGUCGGUCGCACUGGGACUGAGAUACGGCCCAGACUCCUACGGGAGGCAGCAGUGGGGAAUAUUGCACAAUGGACGAAAGUUUGAUGCAGCGACGCCGCGUGGAGGGUGUAGGCCUUCGGGUUGUGAACUCCUUUUUCUCGCGAAAAAGGCACAGUUUUGGCUGUGUUGAUGGUAGUGGGGGAAGAAGCGCCGGCUAACUACGUG
rnacentral:rRNA from 1 species